GUGAAGUUUUAUUCUUGCUUUUUCGUUCAGUGUAUGCUUGUUUUAUAUGUAAGUUUUUGCGUGAGUUUUGUCUGGGUUUUAAAUAGGCUUAGGAUUUUUGUUUGAUGUGAUUCUCAUUAGUUGUUAUUGGUUGUUCAAGUACGCUUGUAUUUAGCAAUGCAUUUUAAGUUUCGGUUAAAUUUUGUGCCAGCAACCGCGGUUAUACCUUGGGGGCUUAUGAACGUGUUUGGCAUGAGGUAGUUAUAUUAUUAGUUUUAUUGAUUUUAUUAUGAUGGUUGUUAGGUGAAAUUUUUAUUGUCUUUUUUUCUUUUAUAUCUGUUUGGAGGCUAUGAAAUUCUUUUAUUAAACUAGGAUUAGAUACCCUAUUAUUUUGGAAUGUUAAUCUGUUUAUGUGCCUGAGUAGUAUUAGUUAUGUUCUUGAAACUUAAAGAAUUUGGCGGUAUCUCAUUCCGUCCAGAGGAAUCUGUCUCGUUAUCGAUAGUCCGCGUUGGACCUUACUUAGUUGUUUUAUGGUUUGUAUACCGCCGUUUAUUGAUUAUCUUUUUAGGGUUUAUUUAAUUUUCUGGUUUCUUUAUUUUGGUUUUAUUUCAGGUCAAGGUGCAGCUUGUUUCUAAGUGGAAUGAUGGAUUACAUUGUGAUUUGGUUUUUGGAUUGUUGAGUUUGAAUAUUUACAUGAAAUUGGAUUUGGUUGUAAUUGUUUGUAGAUUGUUAUUGUGAUAAGUGGUUCUGGGAUAUGCACACAUCGCCCGUCGCUCUCAUUUGUUGUUAAUGAGAUAAGUCGUAACAAAGUGGUUGUACCGGAAGGUGUAGCUGGAUUGAU
rnacentral:ncRNA from 1 species